GGACCUUUGGAAGAGGCUCCAGCUGAAGAGCUGCCACAGCCUUUGACUGCAGGAGCUGGAGAUCCUGAGAUUAGGACUGGAGAUCUGUGGCCAAAGGAUCUCCAGGGAGUAUUGUAUUAGUGCAACCUGAAUGGCUAAGGUCUGUGCAAGCCUAGCCAAAAGUCUUCAAAACAUACCAAAGAUAAUAGAUAAGAAGUAAUGCAAAGAACUGGUGAAACCUUCAACCCUAGUAGAUAUAAAGGCAAAGGGCAGCUCACAUAUUGAGAACUCUGACCACCUGCACCGCUUCCUCCUGGACCGAUGGACACCAGGCAUGGGAGUUUUGAGCAAAGCAUGGAGACACAGAAGCAGAUCUGUGACUGGAUACAGGAUUUUUGAAACAGCAGCUAGGAUGGUUGUUCAAAGGAAUACACAGAAGGAUAUAAAGUAAUCCCAUUUGCUGUGCAUUCUUACAGUAUGCCUCAGUGGUCAACAGUGGACUGUUCUGCACUGUUAUGAAAGCCUUCAAGUGAACACCAGAGAGAGCGACCAACCCUAUAUAAUCAACUCCAAAAAAUUUCAGGCAAUUGCUGUGAAUCUGAUUGGCAGCUUGCACAGUCUCUUACAAUUUUGAAACUGUUCUUGUCAAGUUCCUACAAUUAAAACCAAGCAUAGGUUACACUUAUACUGGAAUUAAACACAAGCACUGAUGUACAGAGUCAAAUUUGCC